rnacentral:snoRNA from 1 species
UCUGUCUCAGCUUCACUGGAUCACACAGGUUCAGUGUAUACUUGGCAUAUUUUAAGGAAGAGAGAGAGGGAGGAACCCUCCUAAUGCACUGCAGACCUGCCCCAAAGUGGUCUUUCUGUUCCUAGGAGUGUGAUAUUU